ensembl:lncRNA
GGAUAGGUCACUCUGAGAACCAUGACUGCUCAUCCCCCCCUGGUAGAGGUCAAAGGGCCAGGUGGGCGGGGCGUUGCUGUAUGAGGUCCUCGUGGCAUCAGAUGAGCUGAAAAUGAGCCGCUGAUCCCAGUUGUCUAAAAAGAACUAACUCCUCCAAAUAUGUUGGGGUCUUCGAUGGUCUGUCCAUCCGGUUUUGUGAACCAGGCCUCCCACUCUUCCUGCAUGUGUUUUCCACAUCCAUGCCGAACACUACGCCUCAUUGGCUG